UACGAAGGGUGCAAGCGUUACUCGGAAUUACUGGGCGUAAAGCGUGCGUAGGCGGUUUGUUAAGUCCGUUGUGAAAUCCCCGGGCUCAACCUGGGAACUGCAUUUGUGACUGCACGGCUGGAGUGCGGCAGAGGGGGAUGGAAUUCCGCGUGUAGCAGUGAAAUGCGUAGAUAUGCGGAGGAACACCGAUGGCGAAGGCAAUCCCCUGGGCCUGCACUGACGCUCAUGCACGAAAGCGUGGGGAGCAAACAGG
rnacentral:rRNA from 1 species